rnacentral:rRNA from 1 species
GACGAACGCUGGCGGCGUGCUUAACACAUGCAAGUCGAACGGAAAGGCCCUGCUUUUGUGGGGUGCUCGAGUGGCGAACGGGUGAGUAACACGUGAGUAACCUGCCCUUGACUUUGGGAUAACUUCAGGAAACUGGGGCUAAUACCGGAUAGGAGCUCCUGCUGCAUGGUGGGGGUUGGAAAGUUUCGGCGGUUGGGGAUGGACUCGCGGCUUAUCAGCUUGUUGGUGGGGUAGUGGCUUACCAAGGCUUUGACGGGUAGCCGGCCUGAGAGGGUGACCGGCCACAUUGGGACUGAGAUACGGCCCAGACUCCUACGGGAGGCAGCAGUGGGGAAUAUUGCACAAUGGGCGGGAGCCUGAUGCAGCAACGCCGCGUGCGGGAUGACGGCCUUCGGGUUGUAAACCGCUUUCGCCUGUGACGAAGCGUGAGUGACGGUAAUGGGGAAAGAAACACCGGCUAACUACGU